AACGAACGCUGGCGGCAGGCCUAACACAUGCAAGUCGAACGCACCGCAAGGUGAGUGGCGCACGGGUGAGUAACACGUGGGAAUGUACCCUUUGGUUCGGAAUAACGUCUGGAAACGGACGCUAAUACCGGAUGAGCCCUGCGGGGGAAAGAUUUAUCGCCAAAGGAGCAGCCCGCGUCUGAUUAGCUAGUUGGUGGGGUAAAGGCCUACCAAGGCGACGAUCAGUAGCUGGUCUGAGAGGAUGAUCAGCCACACUGGGACUGAGACACGGCCCAGACUCCUACGGGAGGCAGCAGUGGGGAAUAUUGGACAAUGGGCGGAAGCCUGAUCCAGCCAUGCCGCGUGAGUGAUGAAGGCCUUCGGGUUGUAAAGCUCUUUCGCACACGACGAUGAUGACGGUAGUGUGAGAAGAAGCCCCGGCUAACUUCGUGCCAGCCGCCGCCGUAAGAC
rnacentral:rRNA from 1 species